UUAGGAAUCUUCCGCAAUGGGCGAAAGCCUGACGGAGCGACACCGCGUGGUGGAUGAAGGCCUUACGGUCGUAAACACCUGUUGUGAGGGAAGAAAUUAUUGACGGUACCUCACGAGAAAGCACCGGCUAAUUCUGUGCCAGCAGCCGCGGUAAGACAGAAGGUGCAAGCGUUACUCGGAAUUACUGGGCGUAAAGCGUCUGUAGGUUUUUGACCACGUCUGGCGUGAAAUCACAGGGCUCAACCCUGUGCCCACACUGGAAACGAGUCGGAUAGAGUCAUUCAGGGGCAUCUGGAAUGUCGUGUGUAGGGGUAAAAUCCGUAGAUACACGAUGGAACGCCAAAAGUGAAGACAGGAUGCUAGGAAUGCACUGACACUCAGAGACGAAAGCGUGGGGAGCAAAGGGG
rnacentral:rRNA from 1 species